CCACCGUAGCCUUCCAUUCCCCUAUUCCCGCUAUCGGCUCCCCAUCCCACUGUUUCCUAGUCCGUCCAUCGACCCACGACUUCCCUUAACCCCAUCACCUUGGUCCGCCAUAUCCUCCACUGCGAGCCCCCCCGUAAACCCAACCUCCACCCACCACCUCCCCUUCACUUACCCUUUCCUCGUCUGACGUCCAAGAGCCAUCUAUACACACGCAGCUCCCUGCUAAUUUAUUUAUUUAGUUCAUAUAUCCUGUGUCGUCAUUGUGUGUUUAGAAGGUGGUAAUACUAAUAAUAAAGAAUAUGGACAACGAAAUCACAUUAUUACUAUUAGUUUAAUUAGUUUUGACAAUUUGAUCUUUGUUUGUGUUUACUAUUGUUUGUUUACUUAUUUUAUGAUCCUGAACUGCCAAUUCAAGUACUCCUCUUUAUGAAACUUUGGAUGUAUUCUCUAUUUUGUAUAUCAACUGCUCCUUGUGUGGUUCAAACACCAGGUGCUGGUGCAGUCCAUGGAAUCUGGGAAAAGUUUAUGGAGCUUGUGGAGACUAGGAGCUUUUUCUUUAAUCUAGACUAGGACCUAAAAAUUUGUAAGAUAUGAAUCGAAUGUUGAUAGGAACACAUUCAUGUUUUUCGUUUUUCUCUUAGAAUGCUUAAAAAAAAAAGGGCUUCCACUUGAUGGUGGUUAUGUAUUUGUAGGGGGACAGCAAUAGGCCUCAAGUCACUAAGGAGAAGGUUCUUCUUGGAGAUCUUAGUAUUGAUUCCACAUGUGAGGAAACAUUGGGUGCUGAACCAGCUGAUGAAGUUCCCAAUUUGAGCAGUGUUUCAUGGACAAAUCCUGUCUUGGAAAUGCGGGUUUAGUUUAGAAAGCCGCUCUUCACAUUUCCAAGAAAGAGAUUGUCAUUCUGAAAUAUCCAAUUUAUCUUCUUGAAGGGAAAUAGUGCUUGAAUCAGCAUGUGACAGGGAUCCCCUUUUGCUCGACAAGAUUAUAUCCCAAGAUCUUCGUCUAGUCUUCAGCAGAAUAUUUGGGUGUGAAACAUCAGUUAUGGACAAGGAAUGGCUGAAUCGCCAUAUUUUAUUUGGUUUGCGGAGCCGCAGUGAAUUAGUAGAUGGUCUGAACUUGUUGGAAUUUGGUGGAACUUCCAAGAUUUAUGGAGAAAAAGCUGUAUUUUUACUGUAUAAAACAUUGUCUGGAAGUGCUCCUCACUUGACAGAUAUUUUGGACAACCAACUCAAGAAAAGAAUGUGAAAAGGCAACGGCUUUCUGGUUGCAACUCUUUGAAGAGUGUGUCUUCUCCAGUUAGAAGGGUUGGAUUUGUUCUGCUUCUGCAGAUGAAAGUAAUACUGCUGAUGCACUUGUUACACAAAAGCAAACGCACAGGCCUACUAGGAUAUGCACCAAAGGACUGCAACAGCAAAACUUAAGAGAUCACCAUAGAAAAUAUGGGGUAUCCUAUAAGAAUGCAAGAGACUAGUUCCUGCAUGUUAAAACAAACAAGCAACAUCGGCAAAAGAGACUAGGAACUACACACAUUGAUUUGUCCAAAAGAAUCUCCUAAAGGAUCUUGUAUUCAGGUUCCAUUCAGUUUUCCAGUCCAGAUAGGGAAAUCAACAAAAAAAAUACUUGUUUGGUAAGUAACACUGAUAAAUGGGGUUGCUUGAAAUUUGUUUGUUCAAUUAAGCAUGACCUGUGAAUCAUGUUGUUUCUUGCAUUGUCAGGGUAUGAUCUUGUGCUUUCCUAAUAGGUCAUCAUUCUUUUCCUUCUUGAAUCUAUCCUGCCUUUAUGCAAGUUUGCAGUUUAAAUUUUUUGCA